rnacentral:rRNA from 1 species
UAGGGAAUCUUCCACAAUGGGCGCAAGCCUGAUGGAGCAACACCGCGUGAGUGAAGAAGGGUUUCGGCCCGUAAAGCUCUGUUGUUAAAGAAGAACACGUAUGAGAGUAACUGUUCAUACGUUGACGGUAUUUAACCAGAAAGUCACGGCUAACUACGAGCCAG